AUUGCAGUGAUGAAGCUAUAACAUAUAAGGAGGAACCAUUUGUUGGAUUCUUCUAUGAAAUGUUCUUGUUACGCUUGGCUUCUGAGCUUC